GGCCAGGCAGCUCCCCGGCAGCCAGGGGACGGGCGGGGCAGGCAGGAUGGGCCAUGCCCUCCUCCUGGCCCAGGACUCACUGCCCAGACCCCGCCUGCAGAAGAUCAUGCACACCCGGAAGCGGCACCAAGACAUGUUCCAGGACCUGAACCGGAAGCUGCAGCACGCAGCGGAGAAGGACAAGGAGGUGCUGGGGCCGGACAGCAAGCCGGAAAAGCAGCAGACGCCCAACAAGAGGCCCUGGGAGAGCCUCCGGAAAGCCCACGGGACGCCCACGUGGGUGAAGAAGGAGCUGGAGCCGCUGCAGCCGUCGCCGCUGGAGCUUCGCAGCGUGGAGUGGGAGAGGUCGGGCGCCACGAUCCCGCUGGUGGGCCAGGACAUCAUCGACCUCCAGACCGAGGUCUGAGCGGGUGGGCGGCGGCCACGCACUGGGCCAUGGAGGAGGGAUGCUGCUCCGCCCGCUCCUGCCGCAGACGGGCACAGACACGCUCGCGGGCGGCGGGCCAGGCCCGCACCCCGGCCUCAGGGCGCUCAGACGGCGGCCAGGCACAGGGCCCGCAGUGCUGGGACCAGAGCCAGAUGCAGGACAGGAGGCGGCCCGGCCAGCGGGCACAGGGCACCAGAGGCCGAAGGUGCCUCAGACUCUGCCCUCCUCGGGCCGAGGCCCAGCGGG
rnacentral:sRNA from 1 species